rnacentral:rRNA from 1 species
AUUGAACGCUGGCGGCAUGCCUUACACAUGCAAGUCGAACGGCAGCACGGGAGCAAUCCUGGUGGCGAGUGGCGAACGGGUGAGUAAUAUAUCGGAACGUGCCCAGUCGUGGGGAUAACGUAGCGAAAGCUACGCUAAUACCGCAUACGAUCUAUGGAUGAAAGCGGGGGAUCGCAAGACCUCGCGCGAUUGGAGCGGCCGAUAUCAGAUUAGGUAGUUGGUGAGGUAAAGGCUCACCAAGCCGACGAUCUGUA